UACAGAGGUCCCAAGCGUUGUUCGGAUUCACUGGGCGUAAAGGGUGCGUAGGUGGCUUGGUAAGUUUGAUGUGAAAUCUCCGGGCUUAACCCGGAAAUGGCAUUGAAUACUAUCGAGCUGGAGGUUUGGAGGGGGGACUGGAAUUCUCGGUGUAGCAGUGAAAUGCGUAGAUAUCGAGAGGAACACCAGUGGCGAAGGCGGCUCACUGGCCCGGUACUGACGCUGAGGCGCGAAAGCGUGGGGAGCAAACAGG
rnacentral:rRNA from 1 species